rnacentral:misc_RNA from 1 species
GGGGGGGGGGGGAGAAGAGGAGAGGAUGCUAUUGCCUUGUGGCGUACAAAUGCACUUGCUCUCUCUCUCAUGAUUUGUACAUGAGUUAAUGGCAUGGAAUAGCUGUAACUUUAUGGCCAUGGAUCAGACAAUCACAAUGGAAUUCUUCAAUAGAUGUUUACAAAGCAAAUCAAACUAAAUGUGCUCAUAUUGUUGGUGAUAGAAUUAAUGCGGUUUGACUUUCUUAUCAUCAGGGAACAUAGACUCCUACCAAGUGAUUGAGACUAUUAGUUAAGUGAUUGGGAAUUUCUGGUAGUACUGAUUGUAGGUUUUUAGAGUGU